CCUGUCGCCAACAUUCCUUCGUUCCCCUAAAUCAGCCUCUUGCCCCAUUGCUCUUUGGAGGGGUGGAAGAAGGAAGUGUAGCGGGCCCUCAGAUUCAUCGCUACCCCGAGGCUAAGCGCCAUGCCUCAUAUUGACAACGAUGUGAAACUGGACUUCAAGGAUGUCCUUUUGAGGCCCAAACGCAGUACCCUUAAGUCUCGAAGUGAGGUGGAUCUCACAAGAUCCUUUUCAUUUCGGAACUCAAAGCAGACAUACACUGGGGUUCCCAUCAUUGCUGCCAAUAUGGAUACUGUGGGCACCUUUGAGAUGGCCAAGGUCCUCUUUCUCUCUCUUCACUGCUGUCCAUAAGCACUAUAGCCUCGAUCAGUGGCAAGAGUUUGCUGGCCAGAAUCCUGACUGUCU
rnacentral:sRNA from 1 species